AAUUUUGAAAACUUGUAUUGGUGAUUCGGAGUCGGAAUAUAACAAUAAUCAUUUGAUUAUAAAUUGAACAAUGAUAACUAAAAAUUUCUAGCAAAAAUUAGACGAAAUAAUACGUAAAAAGAGGUACCAAAUAGUAAAUAUAUAUUAAUUAUAUUAAAUAACGGAAUAUUUCAUAAAUUAAGGACGUUUUAGGCAGUUUGGAAUGUGUAUUAAGUAUAAUACUAAAAUGAAAAACUUGAUAGGUGGUGUAUUAAGUAAGGGGUGUGUAUUAAGAUAUUAGAAAAUUUCAUAUAAGUCACAUUCUGAACAUUUUCUCCUACAUAAGUCCACCAUAACAGUUUUACUCAUAUAAGUCCACUUUUAAGGCUAAAUCUGUUAUUUUACUUUUACGAUGUACCUAAAAUGGCCUCCUCUCCUUUACACCAAUUCUCUCUCUCUCUCUNNNNNNNNNNNNNNNNNNNNAUCGGAAACCUCACAGUAGUAGCUUUUGUAGGUGGUGGUAGUAGCUUUUGUAGGUGGUGGUAGUAGCUUUUGUAGCUGGUGGUAGUAGCUUUUGUAGCUGGUGGUAGUAGCUUUUGUCGCUAGUGGUAGUAGCUUUUGUGUUCGUCGAAAACCUCACAGUAGUAGUUUUUGUAGGCGGUGGUAGUAGCUUUUGUAGCUUGUGGUAGUAGUUUUUGUGGCUGGUGGUAGUAGCUUUUGUUUUCAUCAGAAACCUCACAGUAGUAGCUUUUGUAGGCGGUGGUAGUAGCUUUUGUUAGCUUGUGGUAGUAGUUUUUGUGGCUGGUGGUAGUAGCUUUGUUUUCAUCAGAAACCUCACAGUAGUAGCUUUUGUAGGCGGUGGUAGUAGCUUUUAUAGCUGGUGGUAGUAGCUUUUUUAGCUUGUAGUAGUAAUUUUUGUCAUCGUCGGAGGUCGGCCGGAAACCUCGCCGGAGGUCGGUCGGAAAUCUCGCCGGAGGUCGGCCGGAAACUUUUGUAGUAGCUUUUGUAGGCGAUGGUAAUAGCUUUUAUAGCUGGUGGUAGUAGCUUUUUUAGCUGGUAGUAGUAAUUUUUGUCAUCGUCGGAGGUCGGCCGGAAACCUCGCCGGAGGUCAGUCGGAAAUCUCGCCGGAGGUCGGCCGGAAACUUCGCCGGAAACCUCGCCGGAGGUCCGCUGGAAAUCUCGCCGGAGGUCCGCCGGAGACUGUUCCGAAAUGAGAGUGGUUGUUGACUUUUUAUACUAAUGGCAUUCUUGUAAAUAUAAAGGAGAAAAUCUAAUUUUUUUUGUUGGAUGGCAGUCUGUAAUUAUGUUGAACUUUAAUACUUAAUACAAAACUUUAUUUAGACUUGGGUGGACUUAUGUGGGUAAAAAUGUUGGGGUGGAUUUAUUUGGGAAAAAAUGUCUCAAAGUGAACUUAUAUGUAAUUGGCCCUUAAGAUAUUAGGGGUGUGUAUUUAAAAUUUCUCUAAAUGUAAACUUUGUAACUUUCACCUUCAAUAAUUUAUUCAAUCUUAAGAACCAUUUUUAUUUCCAGAAAGUCAACAUUUAUGUGAUUUUUCUCAUCUAAAUGGUAGAUAUUUCUCAUGAAAAUAGUAGUUGUGUAUUAUGUUAAAUGUAAACUUUGCAACUUUCACCUUCCAUUAUUGAUUCAAUCUCAAGAACAAUUUUGAUUUCGAGAAAGUCUACUUUUUUAUGAUUUUGCUCUUCUAAAUGGUAGACAUUUCUCUUGAAAAUAGUAGUUGGGUCUUAUGUUAAAUGUAGACUUUGCAAUUUUCACCUUCAAUAAUUGAUUUAUUCUUAAGAACCAUUUUUAUUUCCAGAAAGUCUACAUUUAUAUGAUUUUUCUCAUCUAAAUGGUAGAUAUUUCUCAUGAAAAUAGUAAUUGUGUCUUAUGUUAAAUGUAGACUUUGCAACUUUCA
rnacentral:lncRNA from 1 species